GUGUUGUAUAAAAGAGAAGAGGUUAGAAUUCCCUUUGACAAAGAUGGAAGAGGUCCUUGGGCUAACAACCUGCAUAUGCUUAAGGAAUUGCCACCUACUUUGUGGCAUCUAGCCACUUUUUAA
ensembl:snRNA